UCGUAGAGGGUGAGAAUCCCGUACACGAAAACAUGAUGACUGUCGUGAUGGAAACCCAAGUAGCACCGGGCCCGUGAAAUCUGGUGUGAAUCUGUCGGGACCACCCGAUAAGCCUGAAUACUCCCUGGUGACCGAUAGCGGACUAGUACCGUGAGGGAAAGGUGAAAAGUACCCCGGGAGGGGAGUGAAAUAGUACCUGAAACCGUGCGCUUACAAUCCGUCAAAGCCUUNGANUGACUUGNNNNNGGGGGUGAUGGCGUGCCUUUUGAAGAAUGAGCCUGCGAGUUAGUGGCAUGUCGCGAGGUUAACCCGUGUGGGGUAGCCGUAGCGAAAGCGAGUCCGAAUAGGGCGUUGCAGUGGCAUGUUCUAGACCCGAAGCGGAGUGAUCUACCCAUGGCCAGGUUGAAGCGACGGUAAGACGUCGUGGAGGACCGAACCCACUUAGGUUGAAAACUGAGGGGAUGAGCUGUGGGUAGGGGUGAAAGGCCAAUCAAACUCCGUGAUAGCUGGUUCUCCCCGAAAUGCAUUUAGGUGCAGCGUCGCGUGUUUCUCACCGGAGGUAGAGCUACUGGAUGGUCUAGGGGGCCCACAAGCUUACCGAAAUCAGCCAAACUCCGAAUGCCGGUGAGUGAGAGCGCGGCAGUGAGACUGCGGGCGAUAAGGUUCGUAGUCGAGAGGGAAACAGCCCAGAUCGCCAGCUAAGGUCCCUAAGCGUGUACUA
rnacentral:rRNA from 1 species